rnacentral:rRNA from 1 species
UACGGAGGGUGCAAGCGUUGUCCGGAUUUAUUGGGUUUAAAGGGUGCGUAGGCGGCCCUGUAAGUCAGUGGUGAAAUACUGCAGCUUAACUGUAGCAUUGCCAUUGAUACUGUAGGGCUUGAGUACAGAUGAGGUAGGCGGAAUGGAUGGUGUAGCGGUGAAAUGCAUAGAUAUCAUCCAGAACACCGAUUGCGAAGGCAGGUGGCUACGAUUUAUUUGACACUGAGGCACGAAAGCAUGGGGAGCAAACAGG